rnacentral:ncRNA from 1 species
GCGGUUUCCGAGUUCACCCUCGGGAUUAAAAGGGAAUCGGGUGUAAAUCCCGAACUGUUCCCGCAGCUGUAAGCUCUUAACGAGUGAUUCAAUAUUCCACUGUUUUAGGUGCACAUAAAACGGGAAGGAGAAUUAUUUUACGAGCGAGUCAGAAGACCUGCCGAUAAUCA